GAGUUUAACACUUCAUGACUGAGAGCUGCCCUUCAUGGCAACAGAACCCACAGCAACAAUGACCUUCAUCACCAUCUUCAUCUGGACUCUCCUCAACUUUGUUCAGGAAUCCAGUGGACAGGUUACUGUAACUCAGACGCCAGAAGUAAAAUCUGUUCUACCUGGACAGACAGUCACUGUGAGCUGUAAGACCAGUCCUGCAGUGUAUGGUAAUAACCGCCUAGCCUGGUACCAACAGAAAGCUGGAGAAGCUCCUAAACUCCUGAUCUAUUAUGCAUCUUCCCGUUAUACUGGGAUCCCAGAGCGUUUCAGUGGCAGUGGAUCUGGGACUGACUUCACUCUGACAAUCACAGGAGUCCAGGCUGAAGAUGCAGCAGAUUAUUACUGUCAGAGUUUACACAACAUCAACAGUUACUGGCCAAGCACACAGUGUUACACAGCCGUACAAAAACCUCCCUCAGCAGGACUGCACAG